AGUGAGCUCUUUAAUCUCUACCGAGACCACACCAGCACAAAGGACCUGUUCCAGUUCAAGGACAGUCUGUGGGCAGAAGUAUUCCUGUGAGCUGGUAAGCAAGAAAUCACUUUGGAUUGAGUGCUGAUCUAAAAACAGAAUUAUAGAUCUGAUGGUCUAAACGUGGAAGAGUCUGGAUGCUCAAUUUUGAGUGCAGUGGGCUUGAAAGGCUGAGGGGAAGGAUGACUGGUGGAUGGCUGUGAGCCAUUUAGAGAAUUAACUAUUUGGAAAUAUUCAGAGGGCGGUUGGAGAACAAACUAUUCCUGUGAAUUGCAGAAGGUUCAUGUGAAUGUCAGGGGUGUCAGUGGAUAGAGACUUUCCCUAAGAACUUCUGCCAUCAGACACCUGUCAUCUCACAUCUAAAUACCUUUCACUGGAGAGACAAUGUAUGUUAACUGUUUAAAAAUAAAAUUCAAAUCAACAAACUGUAAA